CAAAAAGUUGAGCCAACUAUAUUUUCUCCUUUCCUGCUCUACAAACUGUUGAGAAAUAAAGUCAGAGUGUUCCUUUAUUAAUAACUGUGUUCAACAAGAAUUCCUAUUAAAACUGUAGCAAAUGAUCUGUGGGGGGGUUAAUUCUAAUGUUCCUAGAUGGAUAUAUUAGUACUGUAUUUGUGUAAAUUCAUGAAAGAGGCAGUUGUAUUACAAUCUCAUUCCAAUCACGGCUAUUGUGAUUAUCAUGAAAGUCAGUCCUUUGUAUAUUUAGGUCCGAUAUCUGUAUAUGCAACCAAUAUCAAACUGAAGAUAUUCAAGAAAAAUAAAUGCAUUUAUGCUAAGCUUGGACAGACUUUGGGUUUUUUUUUUGUUUGGUUUUUGGUUUUUGUUGUUGUUGUUGUUGUUGUUUUUUCCGAGGCAGGGUUUCUCUGUAUAGCCCUGGCUGUCCUGGAACUCACUUUGUAGAACAGGCUGGCCUCGAACUCAGUAAUCCACCUGCCUCUGCCUCCGGAGUGCUGGGAUUAAAACAGUGCGCCACCACGCCCGGCUUUGUAUUUUGUUUUUAUAUUUUUAAAUAAUACAUUAGAAGAGCUAAUAAAUAAUAUCUAGAUAAUAUUUUUAGGUUGCUUUCUGUUUCUUUAAUAUAUUAAUCAAAACUAAUCUGGCGAUAACAGGGUUAAUAAUCUGGCUAACUGCUUCCAGAUUAUAGGAACUCAAGCAGGAACAGAGGCUGGAACCAUGGAGGAACUCAGGUCCAUCUGCCCAGGAUUAGUACUGCUCAUAGUGAGCUGGGCCCCAUAUGUAAAUUAGCAGUCAGGAAAGGGCUUUAAAAACUUGCUCAUAGGCCAGUCUGAUGGAAGCAGUUUUUAGUCAAGAUUUUCUUUUCCAAUAUCUGUGUAGAUUUUGGUCAAGUAGGCAAAAACUAAAUAUGACAUCUAGUACUGCACUCUAUUAAGGUAUUGAGAGUAAUAUAGAAGUAAUGGAUUAUGGUAUGCAAUUAAUUUGUAAAUACUAUGCUAUUUUACUUAGUGGGAUUGAUCACUUAAACAUUUGGUAUUUGUGUGUAUGAAAAGGGGGUCCAAUAUCCAAUCCUCCACAAUAACAAGGGAUGGCUAUUAAAAGAUUAUUAUCUCAUAAUCUCCUCUUUUUUGGAGAUUAGGUCUCAAAUAGAGACUGAUGAGUUUGCCUGAGCUCAUAAGUUUUUGUAGUCUGGACAUGAAAGAACAAAAGUUGCUUAAGCCAGAACUUUACUGUGUUCAUAGUCUUUGAGUAAAUAUAUUUUAUAGGUACAUCAUAUAUAUUUUUCUGUGUAUGUAUGUACAUAUACUUUUUCAUAUAUAUUUGAAUAAAUGUGUGUGCAUACUUUAUGAUGAGGUAUAAUGAACUAUUGAAAAAAAACAGAAGACAACGUAUCUUUGAAUAAGUAAUUGACUGCUGAUUUCCAAACAGAUUAUCUCUACAAGGCAGUGUUAGUUACAGUAAUUAAUUGUGUAGACUCACUCAUUCUUGGUAUUAGCAUGUGAUUAUUAUUGUAGGUGGUUACACUUAAAUCAUCAUGCUGAACUGGUGAUUUGGCUCUGCGCUUAGACACUCUUGCUACCUAGCGUGACAACAUAUCAGAACCCACUUAAAGGAAGGAAAGAAUGCACUCCUAUAAAAUGCUCUCUGCCCUCCAAAUGUACAUUGUGCUGCACAGACACACAAAAUAAUUAAGUGUAAAAAAAACUAAAAAUGUUUAUGUUACAUAAGGUUCUUUCUGGAAAAGAAACCUAUUGUGUUUCUUUUCUCUUUUUAUAGUUCCUCAAAUUUAAAGUUGACUUUUUCUUUAAAAUACGUGAUUGAGGAAGUGGAUAGGUUCACCAGAAAGGUGCUUACUGCUCUUCCAGAGGAGCUGAGUUUGGAUUCAAAUACCUGUGUCAGUUGGUUCACAACUAUGUUCUAAAUCCAGGUCAGGGAGCAGUAUCUCUGGCCUCUGUGCCUUCAAUGUGCACAUACCCACAUGUGGACAAACAUUCUUCCAAAAUGUUUAAGUUUUUUCCAAAAGUACUUUAGAUGUAUUCCAAAGAAACAGAUAAUGUGGUAAACACAAAUUGCUAAAUAGGCGUUCUUAUCUAGAAAAUCGAUGGUUAAUAUUUUAAGCAAACUCCCCAGUUUGGAUCUGAUUUUAACCCAUGUUAAGUUUUUUGCUGGUGUAAAUUAAUUUGAGACUAGAAAGAAAGUGUUGUGUUUAAAGAUAUAAAGUGGAAUAUAUUUCUAGUCCUCAGCUAUAUUUAGAAUCUAGCAAUCCUCCAGAAACUAUACUGUUAUCUAACAUUUCUACCAGUAUUAUCC
rnacentral:lncRNA from 1 species